CCUACGGGUGGCAGCAGUGGGGAAUAUUGCACAAUGGGGGAAACCCUGAUGCAGCGACGCCGCGUGAGUGAAGAAGUAUUUCGGUAUGUAAAGCUCUAUCAGCAGGGAAGAAAUAGCGACCUUUGGGUCGCCAGACGGUACCUGAUUAAGAAGCCCCGGCUAACUACGUGCCAGCAGCCGCGGUAAUACGUAGGGGGCCAGCGUUAUCCGGAUGUACUGGGUGUAAAGGGAGCGGAGACGGCGGCGCAAGGCUGAAGUGAAAUGCCGGGGCUUAACCCCGGAACUGCUUUGGAAACUGGGCAGCUAGAGUGCAGGAGAGGUAAGUGGAAUUCCUAGUGUAGCGGUGAAAUGCGUAGAUAUUAGGAGGAACACCGGUGGCGAAGGCAGCUUACUGGACUGUAACUGACGUUGAGGCUCGAAAGCGUGGGGAGCAAACAGGAUUAGAUACCCGGGUAGUC
rnacentral:rRNA from 1 species